rnacentral:rRNA from 1 species
GAUGAACGCUGGCGGCGUGCCUAAUACAUGCAAGUCGAGCGAACAGACGAGGAGCUUGCUCCUUUGACGUUAGCGGCGGACGGGGGAGUAACACGUGGGUAACCUACCUAUAAAACUGGGAUAACUUCGGGAAACCGAGGCUAAUACCGGAUAAUAUUUCAAACAGCAUGGUUCGAUAGUGAAAAAUGGCUCUGCUAUCACUUAUAGAUGGACCUGCGCCGUAUUAGCUAGUUGGUAAGGUAACGGCUUACCAAGGCAACGAUACGUAGCCGACCUGAGAGGGUGAUCGGCCACACUGGAACUGAGACACGGUCCAGACUCCUACGGGAGGCAGCAGUAGGGAAUCUUCCGCAAUGGGCGAAAGCCUGACGGAGCAACGCCGCGUGAGUGAUGAAGGUCUUCGGAUCGUAAAACUCUGUUAUUAGGGAAGAACAAACGUGUAAGUAACUGUGCACGUCUUGACGGUACCUAAUCAGAAAGCCACGGCUAACUACGUG